GAGGAAAUCUGUUUAUCUACCUUCUACCUACUCCACCGCCUCCAAGGAUUGCGAAUUUGCCCUCAAUGGAAUGUUUAUUUUGUCUACAGGUGGGAGAAGGGAGGCUGGCAGAAAUUAAGUAACUCGUCUAAGUCAUAUGGCUAAGAAAUGACCGACUUCUUAACUCGCGGCGCGCACACCUUUGGGCAUUGAACACCUGACGACCGAGGGGAGAGGCUGGGUCCCGCGCAGGCCUUCAUCCGAGAGCAGCCAGAGACAGCAGUGCACUCUGACCACCAAAGUGGGCACCACAUUCCUGUAUCUCUGGGGGAUGGCCCCCGAUACCCUGGCCCUGGAUGGUGGCAACAGCCUAGCCUGCUCAAGCCAAUGAAGAAAAAAUGGUCCCCACUUUGCUCAAGCAGGUCAUAAACAAGAAUCUUAUUUGGUGCUAAAAGGAAACAUUGGAUGAAGUAACAACAAAUAACUGUCAAUCCCAGAACUGGGAUUGGUUUGACAGGUGAGCUAUUCCAUGUACAAUACCACCCUCUGCUGGCCAAAGGAGGAAGAGAGGCAGAAAGCUACAGAACCGCGCUGUACAGCUCCAAACCUUGGGAAGCGGCUGGGACUGGAGAGGGACCGGGAGCCUGGAUCUUGGACUUCCCAGUCUUCAGAACUCCAGAAGAAAAUAGAGGAUGCACAGUUAAAUUAGAAUCCCAGGAAGCAGCUCACAUGGGCUCGGAACAAAUACCGGCAGCUACUCCUCUGCCCUCAUUACCUGGAAAACAGUUGAUUACUUAAGGAGACAUUUUCUGGAUCAAAUGCUAGCAAAAUCAAGCUCAAAAUGACUACAGUCCUCCAAAAGGAAGGUAGUAUUUGUGUCGCUGAAAAUUGAGUCAUUCAAAAGUCCGAG
ensembl:lncRNA